rnacentral:lncRNA from 1 species
GAACCUCUAUUUUUACCUCAGGAACCUCCAUUUUUACAAAUCUCAGUUUCCUCAAUUGUAAAAUGUUCUAUGUCCUAGGAUCUAUCACAAUGAUGUAGUUAAAUGUUUGAAUGGAUCAGCCAACAGAAUUAGGGAACAGAUAGUAAUCUGGACUGGAUGAAAAGUAGAGUAUGUAUUUGGGAGGCACAUGAAAUAAGGAAGAGUCAUCCAAGAUCAGUGGGAAGACAAAAAAAGACAGGACGACUGGUGAUGGCCUGGGAUCCAGUGGAUGACCUCGGCAUCUUCAAUGUCUGACCAAGCUCUGAGUACUCUACAGGGCUUGCUUCACCUGUCUUGAUGGUUGUUGGAACAAAGUAUUGUCAUCUGAUGGUCAGAAAUAUACAUGAUUCUCCUGGGAAAGGCAGAACUUUGUUAAGAAUUCUAGAACAGUAGAGCUCUGAUGGACCUUAGAUAUAAUUUAAUUGACCUACUUUACAAAUGAAAAAAGCGAGGAGAAAUCUGAGUGAUAUGUCAAGAAUCAUAUAACCAGCAGUAGCAAGGUCUAGACUUGAGGCAAAUGUUCUCUUCACUUCUGUAGCAUAUUCACUGGUUUUCUGGGAGUUGGUGCCUCAUUGUGGCUUUUUCUGCAUGCCAUUCCUUGUCUCUGAAUCUGCCUCCCCACUCCUACCUUCCCACCUCCCUCUGCUAACAACCUGGCCCUUAAUUCUUGUCAGGCAGGACUUUGGGUAAUUUACCCAUUCUAUGAAAUAUUCAUUUCUUCUGUCCGUAAGCUUAUCAAAUGCCAGUUGAUUUCAGACUCCUGAAACAGGUCUUGACCUCUGGUAUCCACAAUGCCUGAUGGUAAUUUUGUCCCUGCUAUGACUCUCCUAAAUCAGCAUCCUGCCCUGUCUGCAUGCUGCAGUACUGUUUAUUGGACUGACAUGGCAUUAUCUUCUUAUCAAUAGGAAGGCAGAAUGAAAAUGCCACCUUGCACUUCCCUAAUUUCUUUUUAACAUAUUUUGUUCUAUUUUUUUUAAUGGAUUGUUAGAUAAGUCUCAAUAUAAACAAGCCCAAAAAGGUCUAAAGCUGUUAUACUAUGAUCCAACAACUGGCAAAAGCAAAAUUCAAAUUUACUAUGCUUAGAAAUCUUCAUAUAAAAGGAAUAAUGCAAAAAAGUAAUCAUCACUAAGUAGAUGUUUUUAUUUCAUUUAUCUUGCUGGGAUGAUUAAUAAUAUCAGACAGUGAUAGAAAUGACCUUAAUCCAAUCACUUCAUUUUACAGACCAGGAAACUGAGACCCAAAAAAGUUAAUUAAC